CCUACGGGUGGCAGCAGUGAGGAAUAUUGGUCAAUGGCCGAGAGGCUGAACCAGCCAAGUCGCGUGAGGGAAGACGGCCCUACGGGUUGUAAACCUCUUUUGUCGGGGAGCAAAGCGAACCACGUGUGGUUCAUUGAGAGUACCCGAAGAAAAAGCAUCGGCUAACUCCGUGCCAGCAGCCGCGGUAAUACGGAGGAUGCGAGCGUUAGCCGGAUUUAUUGGGUUUAAAGGGUGCGCAGGCGGAGGUGCAAGUCAGCGGUAAAAUUGCGGGGCUCAACCCCGUCCUGCCGUUGAAACUGCAUCCCUUGAGUGCGCGAGAAGUAGGCGGAAUGCGUGGUGUAGCGGUGAAAUGCAUAGAUAUCGCGCAGAACUCCGAUUGCGAAGGCAGCAUGCCGGCUCCACACUGACGCUGAGGCACGAAAGCGUGGGUAUCGAACAGGAUUAGAUACCCUUGUAGUC
rnacentral:rRNA from 1 species